UACGUAGGGUGCAAGCGUUGUCCGGAAUUAUUGGGCGUAAAGAGCUCGUAGGCGGUCUGUCACGUCGGCUGUGAAAACCCGAGGCUCAACCUCGGGCCUGCAGUCGAUACGGGCAAACUAGAGUACUGCAGGGGAGACUGGAAUUCCAGGUGUAGCGGUGAAAUGCGUAGAUAUCUGGAGGAACACCGGUGGCGAAGGCGGCAUCCUGGACCGGUAUUGACGCUGAGGCGCGAAAGCUAGGGGAGCAAACGGG
rnacentral:rRNA from 1 species